GGCCGUAGCUCAGUGGGAUAGAGCAUCUGCGUCACAUACAGAAGGUUCCAGGUUCGAUUCCCGACAGCGCCU